CGGACUUUGUACACACCGCCCGUCACGUCAAGAGAGUCGGUAGUACCCCAAAUCCCACCAAUGGUGGGAUAAAGGUAAGACCGAUGAUAGGGACGAAGUCGUAACAAGGCAUCCGUAGCGGAAGCUGUGGAUGGAUCACCUCCUUU
rnacentral:rRNA from 1 species